GGAACCGCGGUUCGUAACCAUCCCGCGUAAACAAAACUAGGAGGAG
rnacentral:ncRNA from 1 species